AUUUAUAUAGUUUAAUAAAAACAUUAUAUUUUCAAUAUAAAGAUAAAAAUAAUUUUUAUAAAUA
rnacentral:tRNA from 1 species